UAUGAAGCCUUUUUCUGACUUUCUGGGGUACCAGGAAUUCUAAGUCGCAUAUAUGUACGUGCAGGCAAAAUGUUCAUACACAUAAAAAUAAGAUAAAUAAAUCUUUUUUAAAAAAAGCAGAAAAAGGCUGUGUGUGGUGGUAUAUAUAUGUAAUCCCAGCACUCAGGAGACAAGCAGGUGGGUUUCUAUGAGUUUGAGGCCAGCUGGGUCUACACAAUGAGUUUUAAGACAGGUAGGACUAUGUAGAGAGACCCUGUCUCCAAAUUAACAAAUAAGCAAGCAAACAAAAACAAACAAACAAAAAAAGAAAAAAAAAAAAAAAGAGGAGAGAGACAGACACAUUGAACAUCUCCUCUCUGUUAGCUGCCUAGCUAGGCUGAACUCAAGGAACCAUAUUUAAAGGAAGAUGUGCAAGGGAAAUACUUUUAUCUCAGAACCUAGGUCAUGGUAUUCUACUACACUUGUCUCUUUUUCCCUCUGCUGAUACUGCCUUUAACAGGUGGAAUUUUCUUCUCAAACACAACCCCCCCUGGGGCAUUGUUGCCAGCUCCCUGCCGAGCCACAGCCAUGCCUCUGGGGCCCCAGAGCCUGGCAUCCCAGAUGCUACUGUGUUUACUGUUUAUAGCUCAGGGACUGUCCUGGCAUCUCACAUUUCCCGGGCCCUUUACCUUCCCAGCUGCUGCUGCCGCCCCCUCCCCAGGGAAGAGGAUGCUUUAGCUUGGAGAUGCGGUAGCAUCCACCUUGCAGCUGGUGUCCCUAAAGUCCUGGCUUGUUCUACCUCCCCACUCAUUGGACCAGCCCAGUUGAUGCCCAGAGGACUUCUUCCCCAGACUUAAGCCUAACAGAUCUGACAGAGGGCACCGUAGGAAACCCACCCGUAUGACUUCUGAAGCAGGCUUCUUGUAUGUGGAGGGGCUGAGAGAGUCUUGGUACCUUCUCCCAUUUGGGUUGUGGUGAGACCUCAAGCCCAAGCAGGGGAGCAGGGUGAGACCAGUGUCUCCAGCUUCUUGCGACAGACCCCAGGAGCUGAGUGGGGAGGCCUGUCAACUCUCCUGGGGCCCUCAGCUUAUCUUCUCUUCUUCCUAUUCCAACUUCUGCUCAUUGUCUUGGCAUGGGUUCCAACCCUACUUCCAUGCCAAGAGUCUUCGAACAUCCUCAAGCCUCCGGGCGGGGCAUCCUGAUGACAGUAGCUCCCUCCAUAGGGAAAGCUCCUGGCAGUCGUCCUGUCCAUCAGGACAUCCAUCAACUGUCCACACGCUGCCUGUCUCCAGGGAGCGCUGAGGGAGUUGGUUAGUCAUCUGUCCUCUCCCCCACACAGAUGGGGCCCAAGGCCUUCAUUCUUUGUGGUCUGUUUUAAAGGCCCUGGGGAAGAGACAUCCUUUGGGAUUCUGGCUCAGAAGAUGUAAAUGGAAUUUGCAAAUCCUUUUCACCUGUCCUGUAGCUACUACAGGGGUAACAUGAGAGAGCAGGUGAGAGGUGAACCAGAGUGACAAGAGAGACUUGGGGCCUGAGAGACAGAAACCAGUCAGCAGGCUUGUGAGCAGCACCCAGUUCUCAUACGGUGGCUGCCUGUCCUUCGGUACAACGAUCCACUAAACAGAUAGCUGUUUGAAGACGCAGACUUGGGUUUUGCCAGUUUCCAAACUUCUCUGAGCCUCCACUUACUCAUUCCUCCAAUAAACAGUGAGGUUUGCUUAAGGGCCAGGCGUAGAGCUGGCCGAGAGGGGUUAAGUAAGACGACCUUUCCGUGUGGAAGCACAGACCUAGGUGCGGAUGUACCACCAAGCACCAUACUGCUUCUGCAUAGGACUGAGCACAAGCACUGAAGGCUGGGAAAGAGGAAAUGGCUAGGUCUGACCCUAGGAAAGGUGACAAUCAGUAGAGAUCACCUUAGUGGAAGUGACCCUUGAUUCUAGAAAACUAUAUCUAUCCUCUCCUCCCAGAGAUUAGACUAGAUAACUCCUCCCAGAUUAGAUUGGAUAAACAGUAGUAAAGACCAGCGACUUUCCUCUAGGUCUCUCUGGGAAAGAAAGCACAGGGGACUAGCAGGUUAGCCAGUGCUGUCCUCUGUGGGUCUCCAUAGAAGACAAGCAUGGUUAUGUAGCAGGUGAGCUGGUCUCGGGGAAGUUAGUAUCUUCCCCCUGCCUAGUUGUGAAGCCAUGCAAGGAUGGCGCUUCCUCCCACUCCCCCGUGCGGUUUUCCAUGAUGAUUCUCAGGCUCUUACCUAAACUUUCUCUUUAAGAUAGCCUCAGGCGCUGGGGUUACAGCUCAGCAUGUAGGGAAGUCCUGGGUGUUGUCCAAGUCCUGAAGUAAAUAAAUGAAUAAAUAUCAAACAAAAAUUGAAGGGAGAAAAGUCAUUCUGGGUGUUUCCAAUCCUUAUCCAGGUUUCUGUAGAGGAGUCUAGGGAGAGACUGGCUGGUCAGGGUUGCCGUCAUCUGGCAGGAGCACCAGAAUCCCUUUGGCCAUUGUGGAAUUUCCAGACUCCUGGGUGGAAAUGUUAUGACCCACACACAUUUGCUUUGUCAACAAGGUUCCAGGUGCCAUCAGGAGUGGGACCUGCAGGGUGCCAGGAGAUAAGGUUGUGUAGCUAGCUAGCUUCCAGGUUAGCCUGGUCCAUGCUGAGCCCUGGGCUGGGAUGGGGGCAGAGCUGCCAGGUGCUACUUGGGUUUGGAGUUCGAUAGUGCUUCUGUUCUUAAUAUUUUUCCAAAUGAUUCUCACAGGAGUUUUAAGGGUUUUGUUUGUUUGUUUGCUU
rnacentral:lncRNA from 1 species